rnacentral:tRNA from 1 species
GUCCCUGUAGCUCAGUUGGAUAGAGUGCUGCACUCCUAAUGCGGAUGUCGGAGGUUCAAAUCCUCUCAGGGACGCCA